UGAGGAAUUUUGCGCAAUGGCCGCAAGGCUGACGCAGCAACGCCGCGUGGGUGAAGAAGGCCUUCGGGUCGUAAAGCCCUGUCAGGUGGGAAGAAAGGCUUGGAGAUGAAAAAGCUUUGAGUUUGACGGUACCACCAGAGGAAGCACCGGCUAACUCCGUGCCAGCAGCCGCGGUAAUACGGAGGGUGCGAGCAUUAUUCGGAAUUACUGGGCGCAAAGCGCGUGUAGGCGGGGGUACAAGUCUGAUGUGAAAGCCCCGGGCUUAACCUGGGAAGUGCAUUGGAAACGGUAUCUCUUGAGUACUGGAGAGGAAGGGGGAAUUCCCGGUGUAGAGGUGAAAUUCGUAGAGAUCGGGAGGAAUACCAGUGGCGUAGGCGCCUUUCUGGACGGUUACUGACGCUGAGACGCGAAAGCGUGGGGAGCAAACAGG
rnacentral:rRNA from 1 species